AGAGGAGGACAAGAGGCUUUUACACCGAACGGAGGUGAUGUGGACGACAACGGAGACGCAGCCGCACUUCACCAAGCGGCCGGUCCGAGGGGACAUGGCGGCAACCUCUGCAGCGUCAGUGCUGCUGGCGGGUGCAAGAAACUGGUGGCGACACUGCCUGAGCCCGCUGCUGUUGCCAAGGUGACGAGGCAUAAAGCCGCGGUGGAUCGGUGCGUGGGGGCGCGGGGUGGGUGGUGAAGGGAGAACGAAGCUCGAGCGGAAAGACAGGACCGCGACCGCUUGUCAGGGGAUUCGGCUUCCAGUCCCCCUUCCAGAGGGCGUCCUUCUGCAGCCAGGCCUCUGUCUUCCCCCGCCCCCACACGAGUCUCACUUCAUCACCAUGCUGGAGUGCAGUGGCACUAUCUGAGAUCACUGCAAUCUCCGCCUCUCGGAUUCAAGCGAUUCUCGUGCCUCAGCCUCCCGAGUAGUAGCUGGGAGUACAGGCAUGUGCCACCAUGCCCAGCUAAUUUUUGUAUUUUUGGUACAGACCUGGUUUCGCCUUGUUGGCCAGGCUGGUCUCGAGCUUCUGACCUCAAGUGAUCCGCCUGCCUCGGCCUUCCAAAGUGCUGGGAUUACAGGCGUGAACCACUGAGACUGGUCAGUUAUUGGCUCUUUUUAAAGAUUGUGUUGCUUUCUGCCUCAAUAUUAAUAUGUUGGAAGUUACCAAGAAGUUCAUGACAGAUCUAUUUCAAAUUCUGGUGAAGAAGGAAGAAUUGGCCCUUGAAAGAAUCAGUGUUUUACAAUAAUUUUGAAAGAGGGUAGCGACAGAAGGAAGAAAACAUUAUCAGGAGGGAAUUCAGAUAAAGGACAAACCAUAUUUUGACUGCUACUGACUUGUUGAACUGGCAGUCGGGGUCAACUUGGGAAGACAGCUGUGACCAUAAAUAUUAAAGAAGACAAAAGGAUUCUUUGUGACACUGAGACCUUCUGCAGUACCACAGUGGAGGAAAUGCCAGUGUACACAACUGGCCUCAUUUAAUUCCUGGGAGGAGAUAGUUUGGGAUGCAGUGCUUGUUGUUGCUGAGCAGGCGAUCACAGCAUGCACUGUGUUUCUUUCUUUGAGAAUAUUUGAAUCCUGCCUGAAUACUCGUAACAGAUGAGAGACGCAGGUUUUGAUAGCAUAGAUUUACGCUGUCAUUAGUCAUGAGCUCUUGGGACGAAAGUAAUUGGUUUUAUCCUGUUUAGAGUUAGACCCUGUGGUUGGGUAUGAAAGAUGAGUGUCUGUAAAAAUCCUUCUUAGAAAUGUAUUUCCUCAAGACUCUGUCUCAAAAAAAAAAAAAAGAAAUUUAUUUCCUAGUUCUGUAAAAAUCGCUAUAUUGAGUGUUCUCUAUCACUUAAUAAUAUACUUAUUAUUAAGUGGACUUAAAGAUAUGCAGUGUAUAAAAUCAGCUAAUUACGUUAAACCAUGGUAUCUCCCUUUAUUGUGUUAGACUGAAUAGAACAAACUUUAAAAUAAUUUUUUAAAGAAUAUAUUUGAAUUCAUUUUGUUUGAUAAUAUGUUUUUAUUCAGAAAAGCAUUUUAUUAGCGCUAGGUGUGAACCCGAGCCUUUUGCUAAAUACCAGCAGCAAUCAUGUCCUAGAGUUAAAUCCCAGAAAAAUUGCCAUAUUAUAUAUUAAAGGUUCAAUAAAUUACAAUAAAGUAUUUUUUCUUUAAAGUGAUUUGGUC
rnacentral:lncRNA from 1 species